UCUUAAGUUCUAGAAAUAUAUUACAUCACGUGAUUACGAUACUCAUGCAGUUAACAUACUUUAGAUACGUAGGAUAUACAGUCGCAGAUACGUAACAAACACACAACAUACACAGAUACAUCACAAUCACACGACAUUAACAAUCUAUAACUUUCAACAAUUUUUACUAUCAGAAUUAAAGUUUUCAUAUUAAUAUAAUCUUUUUGUGUUCAGUUCAGUCAAC